UACGAUGGGAGGGCUAGCGUUGCUCGGAAUCACUGGGCGUAAAGGGUGCGUAGGCGGGUCUUUAAGUCAGGGGUGAAAUCCUGGAGCUCAACUCCAGAACUGCCUUUGAUACUGAGGAUCUUGAGUUCGGGAGAGGUGAGUGGAACUGCGAGUGUAGAGGUGAAAUUCGUAGAUAUUCGCAAGAACACCAGUGGCGAAGGCGGCUCACUGGCCCGAUACUGACGCUGAGGCACGAAAGCGUGGGGAGCAAACAGG
rnacentral:rRNA from 1 species